AUCUUUUAGUCUUCUCGAAGAAAACCCUUUGUCAACAUGCGGCGAGGGUUUGAAAUUGGAUGCAUGAGGAUUCAAAGCUUCAAUUUUUCGGCUUGUUACAGGGACUUCCAUGAAUGUCAAGGGAUGUGAUGAAUGAUCUUCAACCACGGCAUUCCAGGAGCGCUAGGAGCAUGAAGAUACAAGAUGCAGCUUGAUCACAUCAACAAUUUGUCAUUGAAAUGCAAUGAUGGAUCCCCUUUUCUCUUUUUUAUGUUUAUCCAUUUGUAUAUCAUUCUACUCAUUGUACAUUCUUAGUCAUACCCACGACUUGUGUGGGUCCUUACACAUUUAUGUAAAUGGAAAGUUUCUUUCAUA